GUUCAUGACCGACACAGUGCCCUGAAGGAACAGUAGUGCAGAGAGUAAAGAAACAGUUAGCUGGCUUUGAUCCAUGGCAAAGGAUCUUGCUCAGUGGGCAUGCAGACUUGGGCUAUUGGCCAUGCAGAGUGAAAGAGAAACUAUGAAUGCAGCAGGAAAUCUGGCAGCACAACUGAAUGGAAUCUCAAGGCUCUCACCCUACUGAAGGGAGAUGCUGUCACGAUGGCACCACUGAAGAAGGGAAAAUCACUUGGCCAGAAAAGAAGCUAGAGUGCAGGGAGGGCCAGUAACGACCCAUUACUAAGCUCCACUCUUCAAGUCCACCACCUAAACACCUCCACACAGAGACCACACUUCCAAUGAAGGAACCCCGGGGAACAAACCAUGUCCGCAUCACAGCAGAGACUUGAAGAGGGCUUUGAACAUGGGUUCCACCACCCGUGAGCCCUGCAGACAGUCUUGCCAAUCCAGCUCUGGAUAUGAUGCACCAUCUAGGGCUUUUUUUUUUUUUUUGGUACCGGGGAUUGAACGCGGACCCUUGCGCUUCCGCAGCAGGCUGUGAAACCACUGAGCUAAAUCCCCGGUCCCAACACCAUCUAGUUUUUCUGCCCCUGACCUCAGGCUGUCCAGGUAAUAGUGAACUGAGAUGAACUGGUUUUGCUGUGAUGUCAUUGUCGCCAACUGCAAUUUACCCUUUGCUGAGCCCGAGGAAUAUUUCAUCACAUCGAACUAAGUAUUGCAGAGACUCUCAGCUGGUGGGGUGAGAAGGGCUCAUGGUUUGAAAUCAACACUUUGCCUCAUUGCUGUACUUCAUUGAAAAUGUAUUUUGAACCUUUAAAAACAGUAGGGGAUCAUAGGGAAUUUUUAUGUUUUAUAGAGGAGUGUAAGGACAGGGCUUAGUACACAGAAAAAAGGGGUCGAAUCCAGGUUUGCUGGACCCUACUCCUCAUUGCGCCUUCCAUCUUGUUCUAGGUCAGCUUCUUGUUUCCUUAGUUCAUUAGAAUUGCUCUUUGAAUGAUCAUCAAUGGCCAUUUAGUUGCUAAAUGUAAUAAUUUUCUUUGGUACUGGAGCUCGAACUCGGGACCUUGUGCUUGCAAGGCAGGCAGCGGAACCAUUGAGCUAAAUCCCCCUGCUCUAAAUGUAAUAAUCUUUUGCUCAUCCUUUAUUCUUCUCUCCUCCAUAGUAUUUGAAACUGAGGACUUCCUCCUUUGUCUUGAUGUUGUCUCUUUCUCCUCCAUCUGCUGCUCUUUUGAGUCUUCCCUCUCACGGACUAUUUCUCCUCUGGCUCCACUUCCUUCUGCCCUUCCCCAAGGGUGUGCCCCAAGGUCAUCGCUGGUCAUCUUUUUAUCUCUGCUUUCUCAGUCACUUCAUCCAAAUUCCUACUUUGCCAUCUACUGGCAUUAUCUUGCAGGGCAUCUGAAUAUAUUUCUAGCCCUGAGGUUUUCUCUCCAGGUCUUUAUUUCUAGCUGCUGAAUGGCCUAAUUACAUUACUGCUGAAUGGCCUAACUGCUUUUCAAGUUCAUAUGUCAACAAAUGAAUUCAAGUUCUCCCCAGAGACCUGCUAGGUCCUUACUUUUAUCUUCCUAUCUGCCCAAGCCCGAAAUUCCUCCCUUUGUCUUGUCUUCCACCUUCGACCUAUGUCAUGUUCAGUCAUUUCCAAAGACUCCAAUGUCUUAUUUCUUUUCUCUAUUUCAGUUCUCACCACUACCUUUGCUUUUAUUACUCUCACCCCAAAAUGAGUCAAUGCAGGGCUGGGUACCAGGUGGGAACUCAGCAAAAUGGUGGCUAUCACCGUGACAUUCCUUUCUUCUAAGGCAUGUAACACAAGGGUGCCAACACAGUUCCGAAAGCAUGGCUGUGCACAUGCCACUUCAUUGCUCAAAACCUUCAAUGGUGUCCUAUUACCCAGACUGUGAAGUUCAAACUCCAUCACCUGAUUCAUGCCUUGUACCUAGCCCUACAACCUACCUUCCUCCCUCCCUUUCUUCCUCCUUCCCUCC